rnacentral:rRNA from 1 species
AGUAUAAGCACUUAUACCGUGAAACUGCGAAUGGCUCAUUAAAUCAGUUAUCGUUUAUUUGAUAGUACCUUUACCUGGAUAACCGUGGUAAUUCUAGAGCUAAUACAUGCUAAAAACCCCGACUUCGGGAGGGGUGUAUUUAUUAGAUAAAAAACCAAUGCCCUUCGGGGCUCCUUGGUGAUUCAUAAUAACUUAACGAAUCGCAUGGCCUUGCGCCGGCGAUGGUUCAUUCAAAUUUCUGCCCUAUCAACUUUCGAUUGUAGGAUAGAGGCCUACAAUGGUCUUAACGGGUAACGGGGAAUUAGGGUUCUAUUCCGGAGAGGGAGCCUGAGAAACGGCUACCACAUCCAAGGAAGGCAGCAGGCGCGCAAAUUACCCAAUCCCGAUACGGGGAGGUAGUGACAAUAAAUACUGAUACGGGGCUCUUUCGGGUCUCGUAAUUGGAAUGAGUACAAUCUAAAUCCCUUAACGAGGAACAAUUGGAGGGCAAGUCUGGUGCCAGCAGCCGCGGUAAUUCCAGCUCCAAUAGCGUAUAUUAAAGUUGUUGCCGUUAAAAAGCUCGUAGUUGAACCUUGGCCCUGGCUGAUCUGUCCUCCUAAUCGAGCGCACGGAUUCGGUCGGGGCUUUCCUUCUGGGGAGCCCCAUGCCCUUCACUGGGUGUGGCGGGGAACCAGGACUUUUACCUUGAAAAAAUUAGAGUGUUCAAAGCAGGCCUUUGCUCGAAUACAUUAGCAUGGAAUAAUAGAAUAGGACAUCGGUUCUAUUUUGUUGGUUUCUAGGACCGCUGUAAUGAUUAAUAGGGACAGUCGGGGGCGUCAGUAUUCAAUUGUCAGAGGUGAAAUUCUUGGAUUUAUUGAAGACUAACUACUGCGAAAGCAUUCGCCAAGGAUGUUUUCAUUAAUCAGUGAACGAAAGUUAGGGGAUCGAAGACGAUCAGAUACCGUCGUAGUCUUAACCAUAAACUAUGCCGACUAGGGAUCGGACGGUGGUUUUUUAUGCCCCGUUCGGCACCUUACGAGAAAUCAAAGUUUUUGGGCUCGGGGGGGA